rnacentral:tRNA from 1 species
GGAGGGGUGCGAGAGUGGACUAAUCGGCUCGCCUGGAAAGCGACGCGGGGAAUUUCCUCACGAGGGUUCGAAUCCCUCCCCCUCCGCCA